UACGUAGGUGGCAAGCGUUGUCCGGAUUUACUGGGAGUAAAGAGCGCGCAGGCGGUCGUUCAAGUCGCGUGUGAAAGCCCCCGGCUCAACUGGGGAGGGUCACGCGAUACUGAUCGACUGGAAGGCAGGAGAGGGUAGUGGAAUUCCCGGUGUAGUGGUGAAAUGCGUAGAUAUCGGGAGGAACACCAGUGGCGAAGGCGACUACCUGGCCUGUUCUUGACGCUGAGGCGCGAAAGCUAGGGGAGCAAACGGG
rnacentral:rRNA from 1 species